CCUACGGGUGGCAGCAGUGAGGAAUAUUGGUCAAUGGACGAGAGUCUGAACCAGCCAAGUAGCGUGAAGGAUGACUGCCCUACGGGUUGUAAACUUCUUUUAUAUGGGAAUAAAAUGUUCCACGUGUGGGAUUUCGUAUGUACCAUAUGAAUAAGGAUCGGCUAACUCCGUGCCAGCAGCCGCGGUAAUACGGAGGAUCCGAGCGUUAUCCGGAUUUAUUGGGGUUAAAGGGUGCGUAGGUGGAGUGUUAAGUCAGUUGGGAAAGUUUGGGGGUUAACCGUAGAAUUGCAGUUGAAACUGGCAGUCUUGAGUACAGUAGAGGUGGGCGGAAUUCGUGGUGUAGCGGUGAAAUGCUUAGAUAUCACGAAGAACUCCGAUUGCGAAGGCAGCUCACUGGACUGCAACUGACGCUGAGGCUCGAAAGUGUGGGUAUCAAACAGGAUUAGAUACCCGAGUAGUC
rnacentral:rRNA from 1 species